AGAAUAAGUAGUAUGUUUUAAUGAUGUGCUGUAGAAAUUUUAGUUUCUUUUUGUCUAGAAGAUAGGGGCUGGUUUUGCUCAUAGUGAGGAAGCUGAAAUUUGGUGAGUCCAAUUUGACAAAAAUUCAUUUUCUAAUGUUUUCUUUCUUUGAAUUUUGUUUACAGUACAUAUUUUAAGUGUUCCAGAAAUGGAGCUUUUUGUUUGUUUGUUUGUUCGUUUGUUUGUUUGUUUUGAGAUGGAGUUUCGCUCUUGUUGCCCAGGCUGGAGUGCAGUGGCGCAAUCUCAGCUCACCGCAACCUCUGCCUCCUGGGUUCAAGUGAUUCUCCUGCCUCAGCCUCCCGAGAAGCUGGGAUUACAGGCAUGUACCACCAUGCCCAGCUAAUUUUGUAUUUUUAGUAGAGUUGAGGUUUCUCCAUGUUGGUCAGGCUGGUCUCAAACUUCUGACCUCAGGUCAUCUGCCUACCUUGGCCUCCCAAAGUGCUGGGAUUAUAGGCGUGAGCCAUCGCGCCCAGCCUUUUUUUUUUUUUUUUUUUUUGAGACAGAGUCUGUCUCUAUUGCCUAGGCUGGAGUGCAGUGGUGCCAUCUCGGCUCACUGCAACCUCCACCUCCUGGGUUCAAGCGAUUGUCCUGCGUCAGCCUCCCGAGUCGCUGGGAUUACAGGUGCCCAUCACCACACCUGGUUAAUUUUUUUUCUUUUUUUUUAGACGGAGUUUUGUUCUUGUCCAGGCUGGAGUGCAAUGGCUCGAUCUCAGCUGACCGCAACUUCCACCUCCCGGGUUCAAGCGAUUCUCCUGCCUCAGCCUCCCGAGUAGCUGGGGUUACAGGCAUGGGCCACCAUGCCCGGCUAAUUUUGUAUUUUUAGUAGAGAUGGGGUUUCUCCAUGUUGGUCAGGCUGGUCUCAAACUCCUGACCUCAGGUGAUCCGCCCGCUUCGGCCUCCCAAAGUGCUAGGAUUACAGGCAUGAGCCACCGCGCCCAGCCCUGGCUAAUUUUUUUUGUAUUUUUUAGUAGAGAUGAGGUUUCGCCAAGUUGGCCAGGUUGGUCUUGAACUCCUGACCUCAGGUGAUCCACCUGCCUCGUCCUCCCAAAGUGCUGGGAUUACAGGCUGGAGCCACCGCGCCCGGCCUAGAAAAGGAGCAUUUUAAGUGUGCUUUCCUUCAGUGAUUUAUUUUGUCAGAUGUAUACUCAUAUCUUUUGUAGUGUAUUUUUCAGGUAAUAGUGUUUCUUUGGAAGCGUAGGAUGUGCUUUCUGCCACAGAGUUGAGUUAUACCACUGAAAAUACAUGUAUUUAGGCAGAUGUUUUCAACCUCUGCCUAAAAAGUUUUAUGGACUAAAUCCAAUCUGCAGAUAUAUUUUCUUUGGCUCAUACAGUGUUGUACAUUUGAAUUAGUUGUCAACAUUUAAAAAGGAGAUUUUGUGUAAAAAUGUGGAUUCAGGCUGCUUUUGAAAAAGCAGAUCUGGCAGCCAUGGAUCUGCUUUUCUGUUUUGCAGCAACCAUCUUUUAUAGUUGGGGCAUGUCAUUUCCAAUUUGCCCUAGACCCUGCCAACAGUCUGACAUGUAGCCCUGACCUGGACAGAGUGUUAGUUGGUAUUUACUAUUUUAUACCUUUCUAUUACUUGUCUAUUUUCCAUCUUUUAUUACCUGUUCUGGAUAUAUCAUAGAGGUCUCUGAUACUCCCAUUCAUAGUCACUUUGCUGUCUUACAUUAUCAUUGACCUUUUUUUUCUGUCUUGGUACCUUAUAUCCUUCGUUUGUUUCUUCUUAAAAAAAAAAAGAUUUUAGGCAGCUUUGAAAGAUGGAGUUGAAGCAAUGCAGGGGGAACCCCCAAAACACUGAAUUACUUUGUUUCCAAACUGAAGAAAAACAGACUUUUGGAGAGCAUAGAGGCAUUGGUCUCACCCCUGCCGGUGCCUUGUUUAGCUGGUAUGUGUUCAGUGUACUCACUUUUGUUCUGCUUGGUUUGCUUUAUAGCAUCUGGAAUGUUGUCACUGCAUAGCUUGGCCUGUCUCAGAAGAUAGAAGGCCAAGCAGAGUUGUUGAAUGUCUCAUUAAUAAGACUUUUGGCUCUUGUCCUGAGACAUAACAACUAAGGUUAUUCUAUUGUUUUUUAAAAUAAUAUACUGCUGUGAAGUCCAUUGUAUUGUUUUCAGUAGUGCCAUGUGAUUUUUUUGUGUGUAUGUGAGGUUAACAACUCAAUUUCCUUUUUCUCGAUUUUAGUAAAAAGGAUGGCAUGAAUAAAGGAUUGAUAGAGGAAUGCAUAGAGGUGAGACUGUAUUGUAAAGUUAACGAGGAAGUUUCUUUACUCAGGGUCUUUCCUUUAUAGCAGGGCUUCACAGAAGAUGGUCCCAGUUUAUCUAAAGACUAUGUCCUAGAGUCUUGACUAAUUCCUUUGGCUUGAAAGACUAUCGGCUAUCAGAAAAAAACUUUUAAUAUGAAAGUGAUUGAGGAAUUGGUCAGAUUCCGGUGUUGGGUUGCCCAAUAGAGAAAAAGAUUUAGUGGCUGGGUGUGGUGUGGUUCACGCCUGUAAUCCCAGCACUUUGGGAGGCUGAGGUGGGUGGAUCACUUGAGGUCAGGAGUUUGAGACUAGCUUGACCAACAUGGCGAAACCCAUCUCUACUAAAAAUAGAAAAAUUAGGCAGGUGUGGUGGUGUGCGCCUGUAAUCUCAGCUACUUGGGAGGCUGAGGCAGGAGAAUUACUUGAACCCGGGAGGCAAAGGUUGCAGUGAGCUGAGGUUGUACCACUAUACUCCAGCCUGGGCAACAGAGGAGACCCUAUCUCGAAAAGAAAAAAGUUAAAUUUUUAAAUAUAAGAAAUUCUUGUUUCAGGCAUAAGAUGACCCUUUACAUAGCCUUGCUUUGUAUACUCAUAAGUUCUUAUUACUUAAGUGUUAAAGAGUUGCUGUAUCACCUUGGCUUUGGCAGUUUUGAUGUAUCUUUGUACACAUGUAUCUAUUACAUUGGGAAAUGUCCUGAAAGAGGCCUUUCUUGACUCCUCUAUAAUAGUACUCCUCUUCAAAAACUGUUGCUGUUUCCCUCCCCAACCCUACAUUAUUACUAUAUGACAUGAUAUUUAUUUUUAAUCUAUCGUGUUUCAUCCUUCACGUCUUUAGAGAGUAAGAGGGAUUUGUUUUAUUCAAUGUUGAAUCUAGUCACUACCUAGGACAUUGAGUUACGUAGAAGAGGCAUAGUAAAUAUUGAAAAAAGGAUGAGUUAAUAUGGGAAUAAGUAAAUAACUGGCUUGAUGGCAUUCUCUGAAGUGCUCCCAUUGUCAAGUCCUAGUUCACUCAGGUUCUGUUAAGUUAGCAGUUGAAAAUAAUUUGUACAGUGGUAGGUGAGUAGAUUGCCAAGGGGCAAGAGGGUACUUUCUGGAGUGAUAGAAAUAUUCUGUUUUGGUCGUGGUGGUGGUUACACAGUAUGUUUUGUCAAAACUCAUCGAACUGUAUCUUUUUUUUUUUUUUUGAGACAGUCUCACUCUGUUGCCCAGGCUGGAGUGCUGUGGCGCGGUCUCGGCUCACUGCAACCUCGUCUCUACUAAAAAUAAAAAAAUUAGCCAGGCAUGCUGGUGGGCGCCUGUAGUCCCAGCUACUUGGGAGGCUGAGGCAAGAGAAUGGCAUGAACCUGGGAGGGGGAGCUUGCAGUGAACGGAGAUCGUGUGACUGCACUCCAGCCUUCCAGCCUGGGUGACAGAGUGAGACUCCAUCUCAAAAAAAAAAAAAAGUUGAUUUAAGGCUGGGCACAGUGGCUCAUAGCCUGGGCAUGGGCAACAUGAUGAAACCCCACCUCUACAAAAUAAAAUAAAAUAAAAAAUUAGCCGG
rnacentral:lncRNA from 1 species